rnacentral:misc_RNA from 1 species
AUUUCACAAUGUUUGACACAAGUACAGAAAGUCGUUCAUACGAUGAAAGGAUGUUGACUCAGUUGCAAUUGUCAAAUGAGGUUUUGCCAUUAACAGUACAACCUCAAAGCACAACAAACUGUUCAAGUGAACAUAUGAACUGGAAUCUCGUUUCCGUUGGAUCUUUUGUUUGUAGAAUUUGUCAUCAUUCUGAUACUUCUAGUGAGCCACUUGUAUCACCGUGUAGAUGUAAGGGGACAUUAGCACAUAUACAUUUGUCAUGCUUAGAAAGAUGGCUAAAUGAAUCAUCAAGAAAUCAUUGUGAAUUGUGUCAGCACAUUUAUGAAGCCAUUAAAACACCGCGAUAUCGAUGGUGCAAAUAAUUUUAUCAUCGAUGGAAAAAUUGAAUAUCCAGUUUGCUUACUCGUUGUGGUAUUAUGUUUUUCCUUACUAUCAUUGGACUUGGAUAUUGCACAGCAGUUUAUCUUCUCGUCAAGGAACAAGUUGUACCGUGGUACAGAUGGUGGGAAAGUACAGUUAAUAUUAGACUUGUUGUGCAGCCAGGUCUUUACCAAGUUGACGAUCAAAUACAGAAAGUCGUUACCGAUAAAAUUGCUGUGUAAUUUCAACGAACUCUGCAGGAAACAUAUUACUUUGAAGAUAAAAUAAAAUGAGUGGUCAACUACGCAACUAAGGUAUCGUUAAAUAAUAAUUAUUUUUUUAAUUUUGAAAAUUGCAUGGCGAUUUUGUUGUUAUAUUGAUAAUUAAAUUGUACGUGUUAAUUGUUUGAUUAUCAACGUAACCGUUAAUCUUAUUGUGGUAUAAACGAUCGAUAAUUAAUCACAAAUUUUCAAUAGACGUGACAAUACUGUUGGUAAAUACGUGUUUAUUUAUUUUAUUUUAUUUUUUUUUGCUAUUUCAAUCUAGUUCAUUUUAUGGACAAUGGUAUUUCAACUAAACAGUACUUCAAACGAUCAAUGUUAACAAAAAAAUAAUAAUAAAAAAUAAAUAAAUCAAUUUUAAAAUUCAAAUAACUUCAGUUAUAAAUUUAACAAAAUGAAAAAAUAAUUAAAUCAUCACAAUAGUAUAUAACGUCAUACGAAUAAAUGAUGUAUUUAUAAAACGAGAUAUUUAGGUGAAGUUUAUCGACAAAUUUCAAUAUCAUUUAUUUUCUAUUAUCAGCAAUAAUUUAACAAAGCUCGAAUACUAAAGUGGAUCGUAUUUUUUUUUUGCUGACUGAAUUUUCUAUUUGCAAAAAAAAAAAAACUUUUCAAAUGAAAAUUUUUACGACAAAUUUACGAAUAAUUUAACAAAAAAAAAUAAAGCUCUAGGUAUAGUUUUUUUUUUUUUAAAUAAUUUUAUUUGAAAAGUUUAUUUGGCGAAUUGAGCUUUUAUUUGAAAGAAUAAUUGGAAAUUUAUAUAAUAAAUUAUUAUAUUAGUAGUAAUUAAAUAAUAUGAUUUUUAUUGUGAAAUUUUUAAAAAUCAUUUUUGUUUAUAAAUUAGUUGAUUUUAAAUCGCAGAAUGAACAUGAAUUUUAUUUAAAAAAAAAAAAAUCAAUACUGAUUACGUUUAUUGUUUGUUUCUGGAUUGAACAAUUCCAGCUCACUUGAAAUAGAAAUAAAAUUAAAAUAAAAUGAACAAAAUUUUGUGGAAUCCUAUUGAUCUUUUUUUUUUAUUUUUUUAUUCCUAUCAAUAACACAUGAGCAUUGCAAAAUCACGAUAAACCUUUACUACCUGUGAACUGAUUCACACAAAGUGGAGCAAAAAUACCUGGGGGAAAAGUUUUUUAUUUUUUUUUAUUUAUUUUUUUUCGAGUGUACUGUCCACACUGAGACUAACGAAAAAAUUUAUAGACUAUUCUCAUAGAGAUUAUCUUCUUUUUUUUUGUCAACAUAAAAUUUAAUUUGCUUUGAUUCAGUCUGCUGAUUGUUUUCUGUCACGAAUAAAAAAAAA